UGUGUUUGUAAAGUAUCCACUCAUAACAGAGUUCCGGCCAUUAUGUCGGUGACGUAAGGGAAUGCAACCAAUGACAUUACAGUAUCAUUCGCGCGAACACAAUUUAAAUUGUCGGCAUUGUGUACGGAAGUCAUUUUUUGCGAAUUGCGACUUGGUGAAACUGACUAUUGUUUGUGAUGGCGUGUAAAAGAAACCUGAGUUUUACUACUCCCGUGAGUAAUAGGGCUUUGCAACCAGCAGCAAGCCCACUGAGCAUAAAUGAUAUAAUGAAACAGCUGAUCUCCGGUCAGAACGCUUUGUCUCGUCAGCUUGAGGGUUUGAUGGAGAAGCAAGCUGCAAACACUGUUCUUCUCGAAGAUGCUAUCCAGCGUCUUUGUGCUCUUGAGCGAAAGUUUGACGAGCAAAGACCGCAAGAGGAACAAAGACCGCGGGAAGAGCCAUUACAUAAAAGGAUAAAGAGGGCGCACAACGUGGGCAUUGCGUUGUCCGGCCUUUUAACAGUUUGUCACGUCUGAAGCUGUAAGGCGCCUUCACAAUUCGGAAAACAACCCACAUAAAUAUGAUCCACAAACUGGAAUAAGUUCGCCUCGUAACCAAGCAGUCAUGACUUAUCAGCUAGAGGAAUUGAAAACAACUUUUGCAGAUGCAGACCCUGAGUGUAUACAAGCGUGUUGCAAGACAUACUUUGAAACACUUCGGAGAAAGUACAAUUUGUCUCAGCCAGAAAAGUCCCAGCUAAGAGAUGCCAUUAAAACAAGAGCUAAAAACCGACAAAGGAAAAGACGGUUGCUGGAUUCCAGGUCCAAGCUGAUCUUCACUGCGCUGGACUCUCUUAUGACAUCUGGAGAUACUUUUACUCUAGGAAAUUCUGCAACAAAACAGUUCAAUCAGUCAUUACAUCUCUUUACUGACCAUGUUUACAUGCAUCAUUUUCCAACUACAGUCCAUGUAUAGGUUUAACCUUUAAACAAACUUAUAAAUGUCUUUACAACAGCACCCAAAUAAACAAUGAACAAUGUCUUUGUAAAACA
ensembl:lncRNA